GAUGAACGCUGGCGGCGUGCCUAAUACAUGCAAGUCGAGCGAACGGACGAGAAGCUUGCUUCUCUGAUGUUAGCGGCGGACGGGUGAGUAACAAGUGGAUAACCUACCUAUAAGACUGGGAUAACUUCGGGAAACCGUAGCUAAUACCGGAUAAUAUUUUGAACCGCAUGGUUCAAAAGUGAAAGACGGUCUUGCUGUCACUUAUAGAUGGAUCCGCGCUGCAUUGGCUAGUUGGUAAGGUAACGGCUUACCAAGGCAACGAUGCAUAUCCGACCUGAGAGGGUGAUCGGCCACACUGGAACUGAGACACGGUCCAGACUCCUACGGGAGGCAGCAGUAGGGAAUCUUCCGCAAUGGGCGAAAGCCUGACGGAGCAACGCCGCGUGAGUGAUGAAGGUCUUCGGAUCGUAAAACUCUGUUAUUAGGGAAGAACAUAUGUGUAAGUAACUGUGCACAUCUUGACGGUACCUAAUCAGAAAGCCACGGCUAACUACGUG
rnacentral:rRNA from 1 species